AAAUGCCAUCUCUUUGUGUGGCUGACUGCUGCUCUGUUACUUCUGAUUACAAUCUCGACCGACUUUAUUAUGAAGAACAUGGACAAGGAUAGACUCGUUGAAUGGAGACCUGGAUUUACCGUUUACUCUUGUUGGAUAAACAGUACGAUCAAUUGGUCUGCAAUGAUAUUUUAUCAUGGGCCUAUGCUAGUUAUCCUGCUUGUUAAUAUAGGACUUUUUUUCGGACUGCUUGGGCAAUAUAUAAGGAAAACAAGACGACCCGAGCUAUGUGGAAGCGAUCCGAAAGCAUACAAAAAUUAAAGAAUCGUGCUAAUGAUUUCGUAUCUUACGUCUCGCUUUGAUUCGGAGUUGAAUAUGACGUGGAUCGAGGUCCCAACUUCAUCUCAAGGCAUUGUCAUCUUCGUGGUGACUGUCCUCAAAAGGAACGAACUCAAUUCAAUUUA